rnacentral:rRNA from 1 species
UACGAAGGGGGCAAGCGUUGUUCGGAAUUACUGGGCGUAAAGGGCGCGUAGGCGGUGCACUAAGUCAGGCGUGAAAGCCCUGGGCUCAACCCGGGAAUUGCGCUUGAUACUGGUGCGCUUGAAUCCAGGAGAGGUUGGUGGAAUUCCCAGUGUAGAGGUGAAAUUCGUAGAGAUUGGGAAGAACACCGGUGGCGAAGGCGGCCAACUGGACUGGUAUUGACGCUGAGGCGCGAAAGCGUGGGGGGCAAACAGG